rnacentral:rRNA from 1 species
UGGGGAAUUUUGGACAAUGGGCGAAAGCCUGAUCCAGCAAUGCCGCGUGUGUGAAGAAGGCCUUCGGGUUGUAAAGCACUUUUGUCCGGAAAGAAAUCCUUGGCUCUAAUACAGUCGGGGGAUGACGGUACCGGAAGAAUAAGCACCGGCUAACUACGUGCCAGCAGCCGCGGUAAUACGUAGGGUGCAAGCGUUAAUCGGAAUUACUGGGCGUAAAGCGUGCGCAGGCGGUUUGCUAAGACCGAUGUGAAAUCCCCGGGCUCAACCUGGGAACUGCAUUGGUGACUGGCAAGCUAGAGUAUGGCAGAGGGGGGUAGAAUUCCACGUGUAGCAGUGAAAUGCGUAGAGAUGUGGAGGAAUACCGAUGGCGAAGGCAGCCCCCUGGGCCAAUACUGACGCUCAUGCACGAAAGCGUGGGGGAGCAAACAGGAUUAGAUACCCUGGUAGUCCACGCCCUAAACGAUGUCAACUAGUUGUGGGGAUUCAUUUCCUUAGUAACGUAGCUAACGCGUGAAGUUGACCGCCUGGGGAGUACGGUCGCAAGAUUAAAACUCAAAUGAAUUGACGGGGUCAUA